rnacentral:rRNA from 1 species
AUUGAACGCUGGCGGCAGGCUUAGCACAUGCAAGUCGAGCGGUAACAGAGAGAAGCUUGCUUCUCUGCUGACGAGCGGCGGACGGGUGAGUAAUGCCUAGGAAUCUGCCUAGUAGUGGGGGAUAACUUGCCGAAAGGUAAGCUAAUACCGCAUACGUCCUACGGGAGAAAGGAGGGGACCUUCGGGCCUUUCGCUAUUAGAUGAGCCUAGGUCGGAUUAGUUAGUUGGUGAGGUAAUGGCUCACCAAGACCGCGAUCCGUAACUGGUCUGAGAGGAUGAUCAGUCACACUGGAACUGAGACACGGUCCAGACUCCUACGGGAGGCAGCAGUGGGGAAUAUUGGACAAUGGGGGGAACCCUGAUCCAGCCAUGCCGCGUGUGUGAAGAAGGUCUUAGGAUUGUAAAGCACUUUAAGUUGGGAGGAAGAGCAGUUAACUAAUAUUUGACUGUUUUGACGUUACCGACAGAAUAAGCACCGGCUAACUUCGUG